rnacentral:rRNA from 1 species
GACGAACGCUGGCGGCGUGCCUAAUACAUGCAAGUAGGACGCAGUUGCGAACGGGUGAGUAACGCGUAGGUAACUGCCUAUAAGAGGGGGAUAACUAAUGGAAACGAUAGUUAAUACCGCAUCCUAGUAGCUGGACAUGCGUUGUAUUAGCUAGUAGGUAGGGUAAUGGCCUGCCUAGGCGACGCUACAUAGCCGACCUGAGCGGGUGCGCGGCUACACUGGGACGGAGAAACGACCCAGACUCCUACGUGAGGCAGCAGUAGGAAAUCUUCGGCAAUGGGGGGAACCCGGACCGAGCAACGCCGCGUGAGUGAAGAAGGUUUUCGGAUCUGAAAGCUCUGUUGUUAAGGAAGCGGUACUUAACCAGAAGGGGACGGCGAGCUACGUGCCAGCAGCCGCGGGAAUUC